UACGUAGGGGGCAAGCGUUGUCCGGAAUCAUUGGGCGUAAAGAGCGUGUAGGCGGCCCGAUAAGUCCGCUGUGAAAGUCCAGGGCUCAACCCUGGGAUGCCGGUGGAUACUGUCGGGCUCGAGUCCGGAAGAGGAGUGUGGAAUUCCUGGUGUAGCGGUGAAAUGCGCAGAUAUCAGGAGGAACACCGGUGGCGAAGGCGGGUCUCUGGGCAGCAACUGACGCUGAGGAGCGAAAGCGUGGGGAGCGAACAGG
rnacentral:rRNA from 1 species